rnacentral:rRNA from 1 species
GCCAUCCUGCUUCUCACUCUUCUCCUCGUCUUCGACCUCAGGCGGCGUCGCAAGAAGUAUGGUGGCUUGACGCUGAACCCGCCUCCGGGGCCGUGGCAGCUGCCGGUGAUCGGCAGCAUGCACCACGUCGUGGGCGCGCUCCCUCACCGCGCCAUGCGCGACCUCGCCCUCCGGCACGGCCCGCUCAUGCUGCUCCGCAUGGGCGAGCUCCCCGUCGUCGUGGCCUCGUCGGCGGCCGCGGCGAGGGAGGUGAUGAAGACCCACGACGCCGCCUUUGCCUCGCGGCCGAGGACCAACACCUUUGCCACGCUCACCAAGGAUGGCCUCGGCGUCGCCCUCGCGCCGCUCGGAGAUCACUGGCGCCGCGUCCGCAAGCUCUGCGCCACGGAGCUGCUAGGCGCGCCGCGGGUCCGGUCGUUUCGGUGGACGCGCGAGGCCGAGGCGGCCGCCCUCGUCGCGUCCGUGACCGCCGCGGCGGCGUUUGGGGACGUUGUGAACGUCAGCUCCCUCGUCACCACGUACGUCGUCGACGCCGUGGUGCGCGUCAUGGUCGGCGACCGGAUCACCGACCGCGAAGCCUUCCUGGCGUGCCUGGACGAGGCUGUCAGGGUGGCCGCUGGGUUCAGCCUCGCCGACCUGUUUCCGUCGUCGCGCCUCGCGCGUGCACUCAGCAGGACGGCGCGCCGCGUGGAGGCGGUGUUCGGAGAGAUGUCCCGGCUGAUGGACACCGUCAUCAAGGAGAAACGCGCGAGGAAGGCGGCGGGCGUCGGCCGCGAGGAAGAAGAGGAUAUCCUUGACGUGCUUCUGGACGGCGGCGGCGACGGUGUGCCUCUCUCCAUCGAGACCGUCCGUGCUAUGAUGAGGGAUCUCUUCGGGGCCGGUAGCGAGACCUCGGCGUCGACGCUGCUGUGGGCCAUGGCGGAGCUGAUGCGGGAACCGGCGGCGCUCCGGAGGGCUCAGGCGGAGGUGCGCGGCGCGCUCGCCGGGCAAAGCCGCGUUCGGGAGGAGUCGCUGCAAGAGCUGCCGUAUCUGCGGCUGUUCCGGCCGGAGAGGUUCGAGGAGGGGGCCGUGGCGGCGCUGGACUUCAGGGGGACAGACUUCGAGCUCGUGCCGUUCGGCGCGGGGCGGAGGAUGUGCCCCGGGAUCACGUUCGGGCUCGCCGUCAUUGAGCUCGCGCUCGCUAGCCUCCUCUUCCAUUUCGACUGGGAGCUCCCCGGCGGCACGACGGAGCUGGACAUGGCGGAGGCGUUGGGGAUCACGGCGAAGAGGAAGAGCGACCUGUGGCUU